ensembl:lncRNA
UGGUAUCAACGCAGAGCAUGUUAGAAAUGCAGCGUCUCGGGCCCCAUCCUGGCUCUACAGAAUCAGAAUCUGCAUUUUCACUGAGCCCCCCCUUCUCCAACCCCAGUGAUGCCAUUCCUGCUGAGCUGUGUGUGCUCAUAUUCCAGAGACACUGCUCUAGACCAGCCAACCUUAGCGCAAUUACACAUCAGGAUUAGCCUAUCAGAAUUCCUAUCAGAAUCUCAAAGAUACUGUUUUUGUUUGUGUUUUAAGGCUACCCAGCUGAACCUAACCUGCAGCCAGGAUUGAGAACCCUGCUCUCCAUCAAUAGGUCUCGCACUCCAGCCUGCAUCCACAUCCCCAGGAGGCCUUGUUAAGACUCAGCUGGAUCUCCAUACCCACACCCCCAGUGUCUGAUUCCAGAGGUCUGGGGUGGGGACCAAGAGUAUACAUUUCCACCAAGUUCUCAGUGGCAUUAGUUUCCUAGGGCUGCCCUAACAAACUACCAAAAACGAAGUGGCUUUAAACAACAGAAGUUUAUUCUCUCUUACAUUUCCGGAGGCUACAAGUCUGAAAUGAAGCUGUCAUCAGGGUUGCACACUCUCUGAUGAGUCUGGGGAGAUGCCUUCCUUGCGCCCUCCACUGUGUGGUUAGGGUGAGGGUGAGGGUCUCCUCUUCUGCUGGUUGCCUGCCGUCCCUGGUAUCCUUCACUUGUGGCUGCAUCUCCCCUUGUCCUUUGUCUUCACACAGCAUUUUCCCUGUGUGUCUUCCCUUAGUCUUCCCUUUAUAAAUAUUUGCCUCUGUGCCCUAUUUUCCCCUGUACGUGGGGAUACCAAUUGCAUUGGGUCAGAACCCCCACUACUGACCUAGUUUAUCUUGCUUCCCUCCAAAAAGACCUUGUUCCCAAAUAAAGUCACAUUCUGAAGUGCUGGGGAUGGAGACUUCAGCGUAUCUUUGGGGAGGAUAUAGUUCAUGCCACAACACCAAAGGAUACUGAUGCUGCAGAUCCAAGGAUACCCCUUUGACAACCACUGCUGUACUGUAAGCUCCAAGAGCAAGCAGCAACAAUUUCCUUUUCUCUUGGUGUGUUCCACCCAGAGCCAGCUUGUGGCCCAGCACAUAGUAGGUUUUCAAUAGCUAUAAGAAAAAUCCAUUAAUAUUCUUUCCAUGAGGCAGUUUGGCCUGCACAAAAGGCUUCAGCCUUUCUCUGAUGCUGUUAGAGGCUUUAAUACGUGACGUUUCAUAUAGCAGGCACUCCAUAAAUGUCGGGUGAGUGAACAUAGCUGUCACUCCUCAUUAGAAAUGUGAAAGAGAACCUUACUGGGUGUUCAUGCUUUCAUUCCACCUUUUGGAGCCAAAUGACAGAAAGCUUAUUAAAUGGCAUGGCUCUUUUAACAGGGAAUUAACAAUCUACAAAACUUCGUGGAUUGGUAGCAGGAGUUUGAUGAGCUAACUAGCUAUGGUAAUUUGUUGAUUGCCCUGCCUUGGCUUCCCAGUGAGAAUUCACCUCUGUUUAGCAAGUGCUAAGACCUAUUAGACUAAGGGGAAAUCUCCCUCUUUGCAUCCUAGGAACCUCUUGUUUGGUCUUCAGCUUCAUAAAUCACUGUUAGUUUUCAUCUACGUCAGUGGUUCUUAACUGGGGAGGGGGUGGUGAUUGUACCCCCCCCCCCAGGUAAUAAUAAGCAAUGUCUGGAGACGUUUUUGGUUGUCACAGUUUGGGAGGGGCCCUACUAGCAUUUAGUGUGUAUAGGCCAGGGAUUUUGCUCAGCAUCCUACAAUGCACGGGACAGCCGCCAUUACAAAGAAUUAUUUGGUACCAAAAGUCAAGAGAACCAAGGUAGAAGAACCUUCCCUCAAGCAAAAACAAGGUGGACAUGAAGUUGCCUCAAUGGACAAGACCUCGAUUUCAAAUCCACCUCACCAGUGACGUUGGUGUGGCCAGUGACGGGAGAGCAUAGCUUUGUCCUUUAGUGUCUGGUUGUUUGCAGUGCUAUUGGAUCUCUCCCAGAUUAAAACAGAGACCUUUCAGUCACUCUUGCAGUGUGGAAAAUUAACUGCAUUGAGUGAUUUCUAGGUGUCAGGCUCUGUGCAAAGUGCUUGGUUCAGGUCCUCUCAUUGAAAGUGAGAGCGUGCCUCUACUCACAAUGUCUCUGAAAUAGGAGCUAUAUGAUCCCACGUUCCAGAUGAGGAAGCCCCAGCUAUGAGGCUGAAUGGUUAACCCAGUUACCACGUGGUGUUGAGUGGUGAACUCCUAGAGCCCAGUCUAUAGGACUCCUGGACUCCUGUGUCUGUAUUUUUGAUCCCUGUUACAGUCUGCGUUUGAACCUAGGUUAAAAUCCCUGCUCUGCUACUUAGUGGUUGCAAGGUCUUGGGCAAUGGGUUUAAUUCUUCACUGUCUUAGUUUCUUCAUCUGCAAAAUGAGAGUAAAUAAUAGUUCAAAGGAUUUCUACUAGGAUUAAAUGAUAUAAUAUACCUUUGACGGUGCCUGUCCACAGUAUAGUAGUCUUUCUCCCCUUUACCAGCCAUAGCACUUAUAUAUAUAUUAAGAAAGAGAAAUUUAUCAGUAUGAUCUGUAAUUCUUAGUUGAUGGGCCUUUGUUUAAACUAGGAGUCUCCAUUUACUGGAAAGAUACUUAAUGAUGAAGCUUUUAUUCUGUUCACCUCCCUCAGGGAGUGCUUAAAAAUACCUCACAAACUCACUGUUAGAAACCCUUGUUCUCUACCCAAUCGGGACUUAAUUAGUCUUUCAGCUGCUUAGCCCUUCUUCUAAGUUGUUCAGUGUUAAAUCCCAGAUGACCCUGGUUGGGAAAAUGUGGAAACCUUCCAAGCACAGUUCAACAUGCUCGGUGCCCAAGAAGACUUUAUAGUGCGAGUUGGGGGAUUUUAAAGGAUUUCUGAUGUCAACAAAGGAGAAAAAAUAGUGCUAAAUUAGAUGCUUACAAAUUAUAUUCCUCUCUCCUAGGAAAGAUUCAUUAAUUUUCUCAGUAACCAGGCUCAUUCUUUUGGGCCACCAGAGGAAGAUUUGUGAAUUCAAUAUCUGACCCCACCUUCCUCGUGCUUAAAAAGUCUCAUUACCUACAAACAUCCUUAGGAGGAAAAGUCUACUUUCUGGGUGAGGCCUUCAUGCCUGGGCACAACCUGCCCAAGCUUCCUGUCCACACAUCCCUCCUGCCAUCCUUUAGAAUCUACCAUCCCUCUUCCUGCCACUUCCAAAUAUAUAAAUAUUUAUAUCUAGUGAUCCCCUCCUCAGCCACCCACCCUUUGGCUGUCAGGAUAACUCCUACUUCAAGACCCAGCUCAAAUAUCACCCCCUUCUUCAGGUUUCUUCAACCUCCCAAGGGAGAACGGACUGGCUUUCCUUGAGAAUAUUCAUCCAUCCAUCCAUCCACUCAUUCACUCAACGUCAACCACUUGCCAGAUGCUGUUUUAGGCACUAGAGUGUGGAGGGGAGCCAGAAAGUGUAGAGCAUACUUUCUAGCUGGGGACUCAAUAUAAUGUAAAACAUAAACUAACAUUUAAUUCAGAAAAUGAUAAGUGCUAUGAAGAAUUUAAUAUUGAGACAGUAUGGCUGGCAGAGGAGAGUGUGCUCUUGGAGGUGAGGUUUGGGCUGAAACCUGAACAAUGAGAGGGAACCCUUGACUUAUGCCCCCCAAAUAGCAUAAGUACAUCAGGCAGAGAUUUGUGUAUCUCCUUCCCUCUUAAGAGGUUGUGAACUCCUUGAGGACAAGGCUCUUGUCUUCCUUGUCUUAGUAGCCCCGGAAUCUUGGAGUCCUCAGCACCUGGCAUAUUAUCUGCAGGUAGCACGUAGCCAUAGGUGAUUGCUCAACUGACUUGGUUUAACUUAAAGCUUUAGUUCCACUUCUACCAGCCGCUGAAUUUUUUUUAAUCAAAUAAUUUUUUUUUUAUUUUCCCACUGUACAGCAAGGGGGUCAAGUUAUCCUUACAUGUAUACAUUACAAUUACGUUUUUUCCCCACCCUUUGUUCUGUUGCAACAUGAGUGUCUGGACAUAGUUCUCAAUAAUCAAAUAAUUUUUGAAAAAACUAUUUUUCCUUAUUUCUCUGGGUUAAAACUUUUGGAAAACAAACUUUUGGAAAUCCAUUUAGGGAAUGUGAUAUUUUUGCCAAUUAGCAUCUUAGAAUCGGUGUCAUUUCUACACAUCAAUGACAUCUGUGUUAACUACGUUUUAUGCUAUGCCUUCCAGUCUUUGCUCAAAGAAAUCCAACUCCUACUUCCUGGGUAGUUAAGUCUGGGAAGAAACAGUAGUGUGGAGGAGAAGCUGUGAUGGCUUCUCUUCCCAUGGCCUCAGAGAACACACCAGCCAUCAGCAUACCACCCCUUUCUCAGUCCUCACAGGCCUUGAUUGAUGUACAUCUGUGCUGCUAGACCAAAGGCACCAUGACAUCCUGACAAAGUCUGUCUUGUCUAAAAUCUUCAGUGUCAGUUGCAUCUGGCACAUAGUAGGCACUCAGAAAAGACUUGUGAAGAAAUGCCUGAAGGCACAACAGGGAAUUGAAGGAAUACUUCUAGUCCUAAAAUACCUUGGUUCCCAGUUCAAGGACCACCAUUGGCUUGAAAUUUAAUCCAUCAGGCUAUCUCCUUUUAAUUUCCAUUCCUUUGAUGAAGGUUUAUAUGUCAGGCAGUGUGCUCCCAGUGCCAGGGACAUGAUGGUGUGUGAUAGUCUCUGUGAUUCGUGGUGCUUAGAGUCUAGUAGGAGAGGAAGACUUUAACCAAAUGAGGGCACAGGUAAAUGUGGAAUUGUGAACUGUAAUAAGAGCUAAGAAGGAAAGACAUACAUUGCUGGGAGCCUCGACGCAGGGGUAUCUAGGAGGCUUGUGACCCAGGACGAGUGAUUUUGGAACCUUGACCCACAAGACUGAAAUAAGUGGAGGAGAAAGAAGGAUGUUUAGUUGAAGGGAGCAUGGGGCAUAGAGGACCUUUCACGGGGCAUCAGGAGCUGAUGGGAGGAUAAGGAUGAUGUGAAACAAGCAAAGGAAGCAGGCCAUAGCUAGGUUCUUUUGAGCCCUGUUAGGAAUCUUCAUCUAUAUCCUCAGAGCAUAGGAAAGCUUCCAAGGUUUUGUAUGGGGAUUCUGGAAUCAUUACCUAGGUUGCCAUUGGGAUAGUAGGUUGGAGGAGGCAGGAGUGGCAUGAGAAGAUUGGCUGCAGCAGGUGUCCAGGUGGGAGGUAACGUCACUUAAACCUAGGGUUGCAGAUGCAGGGUGGGGAGAAAGAGGCAGAUGCAGAAGAUAAACUCAGCAGCACUUGGUGGUUUACUCUCCACCAGGGGUCCUAGACCAGGGACAGUUAUACACCCCCCCCCCACACACACACAUACACCCCGGGAUAUCUGGCAAUGUCUGGGGAUUUGGGUGGUCAAAAUUAGUGGGGCACAGAGGUUUCAUUGUGGAAGGGUGUGCUCUUGGCAUCUAAUAGAGUAAGACACUAAAUAUCCUACAAUGCAGGGGACAGCCCCCUCCCCACCAACAAAUAUCCAUAUGGCCUCAAAUGCCAAUGGUGCUGAGGUUGAGAAACCCUGCUUUAGAUGUAAGAUGCAAUGUCAGAGAUGACCCUCAGGUCUUAUCUUGCUAACAGGGUGAAAGGUCAUGCCAUUUUCAGAGAACUUGAGACCCAGUUCUUUUAUAGUGGGAAUUGGGGGAGAGUGAGCUUUUGAGGCAUUUUGAAGGCAUCCCAGCAUGGAGAUGGCUUAUUUUCUGUCCAAAUUUUCACCCGUCCUAGGAAAUUCUCCACCCUCUUGGUGCCAUUUCCAAGUCACACUACUCUGGAUUGGAUUCUCACCUCCCCACACCCUACUUUCCAAUAUCCAUUCACCACUUCCUUCCACCUUGAAGAGAAGCCUUUUCAAUCUAAGGGUUUGACUACCAUCCCUGCAGCAAAAUAGACAAGGGCAACAAAUAUGUCAGUAGCAUUUUCAUUUGAGGAUUUUAUUUGCCUCGUGUCAGUUUCUCUUUAAGAAAACUAAAGAAGUGUGAUUUUUUCCUCUGUCUGCAUAAUUUCCUCUCCUGUCUGAUUGAGUGCUUGUCAGCAGCGGCAGAUCAGGAACCAUGCUGAAAGCUUGGAGGAGCAGGAAGAGACCAAGUGACCCAGGGAAAGCCAAUCUUAACCUCUAUUCUCAUGUCAUUAACUGCGCUUUCUAAGCCCUUGGGACAUUGCCUUGAAGGAAGGGGAAACACACUGUGAUGGGGUCCUUGGGUCGCUCCUGUGAAAGAUCCUGAAAGUCAGUCUCCAGAAACAGCCCCCCACCUCCAAAAAGUCCCUCCCUGCUUAAUCCCAUCUGUCCUCAUUCCUUUGUGCUGAGCACCUAUCUGGAAAUAGGCAAAAGGAAAGGAAUUUCAGAGAAGAGUAGUAUGUCAGCAUUUUGAGUGGAUUAAACUGAACAGCAGAUCAUGGGGAACCCAUGAGAAUGCUAUGAACCCCUAGGCAGCUCUCUACCCACUGCAGCCUCCAUAUGCUCCACCAGCUUGCGCCCUUGAGUGUCCCCCAUGGGGUCCCCAGUCUAGCUCGUGAUGACAUCCCAGCAUGGAGCACCACCACCUCCACAGCACUGUGACCACAGCUUUACCUCUCAUGUUGCACUUGUCCACACUCAAAAAAAAGAAAAAGAAAAAGAAAAGAAAAAAAA